UCGCAGUCUUACCUUCACAAUCUAUGGCAUGUCUGAGCCGACAUCAAUAGAAGCAUAGGUGAGGUAAGAGAGAGGAGUGCAACAUCGACGUCGGGGCAGUGGAGAUGGAGGAGAAGAAGAAAUAAGAGGAAGCAAGAGGAGGAAAAGAGAAAGAAAUAGCAAGGAGGAAGGAUAUGAACCUGACAAAGAGACGAAUGAGGAAAAAAGAGAGGGAGAAAAAAUAUAAGAGUAUUUUAGUUAGUUUACUAAAAAAUUCGGACCGAAUUUGCAAAAUCCAAAAAAAAUAGCCCGUUAUUG
rnacentral:lncRNA from 1 species